CAUGCAAGUCGAACGGUGAAGCAGAGCUUGCUCUGUGGAUCAGUGGCGAACGGGUGAGUAACACGUGAGCAAUCUGCCCCUGACUCUGGGAUAAGCGCUGGAAACGGCGUCUAAUACCGGAUACGAGCUGCGAAGGCAUCUUCAGCAGUUGGAAAGAAUUUCGGUCAGGGAUGAGCUCGCGGCCUAUCAGCUUGUUGGUGAGGUAAUGGCUCACCAAGGCGUCGACGGGUAGCCGGCCUGAGAGGGUGACCGGCCACACUGGGACUGAGACACGGCCCAGACUCCUACGGGAGGCAGCAGUGGGGAAUAUUGCACAAUGGGCGGAAGCCUGAUGCAGCAACGCCGCGUGAGGGAUGACGGCCUUCGGGUUGUAAACCUCUUUUAGCAGGGAAGAAGCGAAAGUGACGGUACCUGCAGAAAGGCGAACUACGUGCCAGCAGCCGCGGUAAUACGUAGGGCGCAAGCGUUAUCCGGAUUAUUGGGCGUAAGAGCUCGUAGGCGGUCUGUCGCGUCUGCUGUGAAAUCCCGAGGCUCAACCUCGGGUCUGCAGUGGGUACGGGCAGACUAGAGUGCGGUAGGGGAGAUUGGAAUUCCUGGUGUAGCGGUGGAAUGCGCAGAUAUCAGGAGGAACACCGAUGGCGAAGGCAGAUCUCUGGGCCGUAACUGACGCUGAGGAGCGAAAGGGUGGGGAGCAAACAGGCUUAGAUACCCUGGUAGUCCACCCCGUAAACGUUGGGAACUAGUUGUGGGGUCCAUUCCACGGAUUCCGUGACGCAGCUAACGCAUUAAGUUCCCCGCCUGGGGAGUACGGCCGCAAGGCUAAAACUCAAAGGAAUUGACGGGGACCCGCACAAGCGGCGGAGCAUGCGGAUUAAUUCGAUGCAACGCGAAGAACCUUACCAAGGCUUGACAUAUACGAGAACGGGCUAGAAAUAGUCAACUCUUUGGACACUCGUAAACAGGUGGUGCAUGGUUGUCGUCAGCUCGUGUCGUGAGAUGUUGGGUUAAGUCCCGCAACGAGCGCAACCCUCGUUCUAUGUUGCCAGCACGUAAUGGUGGGAACUCAUGGGAUACUGCCGGGGUCAACUCGGAGGAAGGUGGGGAUGACGUCAAAUCAUCAUGCCCCUUAUGUCUUGGGCUUCACGCAUGCUACAAUGGCCGGUACAAAGGGCUGCAAUACCGCGAGGUGGAGCGAAUCCCAAAAAGCCGGUCCCAGUUCGGAUUGAGGUCUGCAACUCGACCUCAUGAAGUCGGAGUCGCUAGUAAUCGCAGAUCAGCAACGCUGCGGUGAAUACGUUCCCGGGUCUUGUACACACCGCCCGUCAAGUCAUGAAAGUCGGUAACACCUGAAGCCGGUGGCCCAACCCUUGUGGAGGGAGCCGUCGAAGG
rnacentral:rRNA from 1 species